rnacentral:sRNA from 1 species
UGAUACCAGGGUCAAAAGGUCAUGCGUUUCAUGCUUGCAUGAAAAAGCAUGACUUUGGGACCCCUACAUCAUGAUAAUCAGUGUAGUUAGAUUUUCCUGAAAAGUCAAGAAAAUACCUCUAAAGGAGUAA